GAGUUUGAUCGUGGCUCAGGACGAACGCUGGCGGCGUGCCUAAUACAUGCAAGUCGAGCGAAUGAUGAAGAAGCUUGCUUCUUCUGAUUUAGCGGCGGACGGGUGAGUAACACGUGGGCAACCUGCCCUGUAGAUUGGGAUAACUCCGGGAAACCGGGGCUAAUACCGAAUAAUCCAUUUCCUCACAUGUGGAGAUGUUAAAAGACGGUUUCGGCUGUCACUACAGGAUGGGCCCGCGGCGCAUUAGCUAGUUGGUGAGGUAACGGCUCACCAAGGCGACGAUGCGUAGCCGACCUGAGAGGGUGAUCGGCCACACUGGGACUGAGACACGGCCCAGACUCCUACGGGAGGCAGCAGUAGGGAAUCUUCCACAAUGGACGAAAGUCUGAUGGAGCAACGCCGCGUGAGUGAAGAAGGUUUUCGGAUCGUAAAACUCUGUUGUGAGGGAGAACAAGUACGAGAGUAACUGCUCGUACCUUGACGGUACCUCAUUAGAAAGCCACGGCUAACUACGUGCCA
rnacentral:rRNA from 1 species